rnacentral:rRNA from 1 species
GCCGGUAAAAAGACCGGGAGGAAGGGUGAGGAUGAUGUCAAGUCAGCAUGACCUUUAUAUCCAGGGCUACACACACGCUACAAUGGUCUGUACAAUGGGUAGCCAAGCCGCGAGGCGGAGCCAAUCCUGAAAGCAGGCCUCAGUUCAGAUUGCAGUCUGCAACUCGACUGCAUGAAGCCGGAGUUGCUAGUAACCGCAGGUCAGCAAUACUGCGGUGAAUACGUUCCCGGGUCUU